AUGUUACUCUCUUUACGAAGGAAAACUGUCGGGAAGAAGCUGAGAUGCUGUUUUAAAGUCGUUUUGCCCCUAGACAACGGAAGUACUCAGAAGAGGUUGGAAUCUUCAUCUCAUUGGAUCAUCACCACCAACCUCAGCUCCUUGAGGACACAGUCUGAGGGCUGUGUGUUACAUUUUCAGUCCCUGGCAGAGGGCCUGGCCCCUAGUCAGUUCUCAAUAAAUAUUGAAAGAAGGAAGACUGUUCUUCGAAGUAGGUCACCGGUUUCUGCUCGAUUCUUGCCCUCGAGGGAAGAAACAUGGAUUGACAUCUGCAUGACAUCCAGUUCAAUGUGGCACUACAGCUCAGCUCUGCGGUGUCAAGUUUGCCCACAGAUGAGGGUCUGCUUUCUGCAAGUGAUCUCUGCUGGUCAUUCCUAGAACUCUGCCAUGCUGCGACCUUCAGGAGGGCACACAGGUACUCGCUGUAGUGUUGGGGUGUGUGGUCGAGGCAUGAGGGGGGCUGGGAGUGUGGUUGGAUCAGCUGGGGGAUUGCAGGUGGCUCUCAUAGGGUUUUGGGGAUAGGCAUCUGGAUGGAGUCCUCCAUACACUUAGUAAGCUUAGUGUCCUUUUAAUGCCUUAUGAGAGUCCUGAGUACUUUCCCAGGCUUCCCCCCACAACCUUCAUCCCAAGUCCUGACUUAAUGCAAUCAGUUUUUAGUAUCAGCUUGUAUUUCAUUUGGGGAUUCAACCAACCUUUGAUCAAAUUUGAAUCUACUGUUGGUGGAACCACUGAUGCAGAACCCUCUCAUGUGGAUGGCCAAGUGUAACUGCCAUUUCAUGUAAGAGACUUGAGCUUCCC
rnacentral:lncRNA from 1 species